rnacentral:rRNA from 1 species
CACGUAGGGGCCAAGCGUUGUCCGGAUUUAUUGGGCGUAAAGAGCUCGUAGGCGGUUGGGUAAGUCGGGUGUGAAAACUCCAGGCUCAACUUGGAGACGCCACCCGAUACUGCUCUGACUUGAGUUCGGUAGGGGAGUGGGGAAUUCCUGGGUGUAGCGGUGGAAAUGAUGCAGAUAUCAGGAGGAACACCGGUGGCGAAGGCGCCACUCUGGGCCGAAACUGACGCUGAGGAGCGAAAGCGUGGGUAGCAAACAGG